rnacentral:tRNA from 1 species
GCGAGCGUAGCUCAGUGGUAGAGCUCGACCUUGCCAAGGUCGUUGUCGAGAGUUCGAAUCUCUUCGCUCGCUCCA